rnacentral:tRNA from 1 species
GCCUGGGUAGCUCAGUGGUUGAGCGUCUGCCUUUGGCUCAGGGUGUAAUCCCGGGGUCAUGGGAUUGAGUCCCACAUCAGGCU